GGGGAUGUAGCUCAGUGGUAGAGCGCUUGCUUUGCAUGUAAGAGGCCCUGGGUUCAAUCCCCAGCAUCUCCA
rfam:Picoides pubescens contig46323, whole genome shotgun sequence.